rnacentral:rRNA from 1 species
AGUGAACGCUGGCGGUAGGCCUAACACAUGCAAGUCGAACGGCAGCACAGUAAGAGCUUGCUCUUACGGGUGGCGAGUGGCGGACGGGUGAGGAAUACAUCGGAAUCUACUUUUUCGUGGGGGAUAACGUAGGGAAACUUACGCUAAUACCGCAUACGACCUACGGGUGAAAGCAGGGGAUCUUCGGACCUUGCGCGAUUGAAUGAGCCGAUGUCGGAUUAGCUAGUUGGCGGGGAAAGGCCCACCAAGGCGACGAUCCGUAGCUGGUCUGAGAGGAUGAUCGGCCACACUGGAACUGAGACACGGUCCAGACUCCUACGGGAGGCAGCAGUGGGGAAUAUUGGACAAUGGGCGCAAGCCUGAUCCAGCCAUACCGCGUGGGUGAAGAAGGCCUUCGGGUUGUAAAGCCCUUUUGUUGGGAAAGAAAAGCAGCAGGUUAAUACCCCGCUGUUCUGACUGUACCCAAAGAAUAAGCACCGGCUAACUUCGUG